rnacentral:rRNA from 1 species
CCUACGGGUGGCAGCAGUGGGGAAUAUUGGACAAUGGGCGAAAGCCUGAUCCAGCCAUGCCGCGUGUGUGAAGAAGGCCUUCGGGUUGUAAAGCACUUUCAGUGGGGAAGAAAGCCUUGGGGCUAAUACCCUCGAGGAAGGACAUCACCCACAGAAGAAGCACCGGCUAACUCCGUGCCAGCAGCCGCGGUAAUACGGAGGGUGCGAGCGUUAAUCGGAAUUACUGGGCGUAAAGCGCGCGUAGGCGGUCUGAUAAGCCGGUUGUGAAAGCCCCGGGCUCAACCUGGGAACGGCAUCCGGAACUGGCAGGCUAGAGGGCAGGAGAGGAAGGUAGAAUUCCCGGUGUAGGGGUGAAAGGCGUAGAGAUCGGGAGGAAUACCAGUGGCGAAGGCGGCCUUCUGGACUGACACUGACGCUGAGGUGCGAAAGCGUGGGUAGCAAACAGGAUUAGAUACCCCGGUAGUC